GCUGAGCUGACAGUGCUUAGACCAAGGGAAGAAGCACUAUGGUGGCUGGCAAGGUGGCAGUGCCAGUGCUUAGUGCUGCGUUCAACGUGUGCUGAUACUCUACACUUGAGGGAAGCUGCUUAAAAUCAGCAAACCCAGGAAUUCCACUGAUCCUUUGACUCCUCCUCCCUGGAGCUUUAAGAAGUCACAGCGAGAGAUUUCAGCCCUGGUUUCCGUGUUUCACAGAAGCAUCUGGCUGCUGGUUUGCAUUCUGUCAAAUAGGGGUGAGUUUCAUCUCGGAACUGAAGGUGUAAGUCCGGAUGUCUGAGCACUCCCUGCAGCUGUGACUCCACUGAAGACAACUGCUGUGUCAGAGAUUUAUCCCCACACAACUUCAAACCCCAAAUCUCCCCUCUUUUCAGCCAAUGUGGUGCUGUUCUGGGACUGUCAAAUUAUUUCAACAUCAUUUGACUGACAGGAAUUCAUAAUGCUCACUUGGUUUAUUUUUAAAUAUUUAUCAAAUCCACUGUUUGUCUA